GCCAAGACUACCUUGGUGUUGUGAGAGGGAUAUGGAGGAAACCCCUGUGCCAAUGCCUGGACUGCCCUGGAAAGCACCUGACAGUGGAGAUUGGUCCUUCUGUGGUGGCUGAAGGGACAGAUGCCAGCCCAUUCAGCUGAUUUCAUGUUUGUCCCUCCGCUGAGAAAUCCCACAAGUGACAGCUGCAUCUCUGGGAGCACUCUGACAGGGCCCUCUACACUUGCAGUGAUUUUUGGUAUUUAUCAAGAAGAAAAGCAGUUCCAAAAUGCUGCUGUAAAGCUCACCAACUCAGCUGUAAAAACAGCCAAAGAGUUCAGCUGUGCUGGGGAGUGCUGUGGCUCAGACAAGGACAAUAUGACGCAUACAGCUCUUUACCAGGCCACUGGUAAAGUCCCCUGCACCACCUUUGAACCAAAAUUUGUUUUAUGGAAAACAGGAUUUUUUCCUGUUUUUCUCCCCCUUACUCUAUUUUUUUUUCUCAUUGUGAUUGAUCACGGUGAACGGAUUAUUCAGUCUGGAAAAUCCAUCAGCAGCUGCUGCCCAGUGGGAAAGCCUCUUGCUUGCUUGUUCAUUCCUGAAAGCUGUCAGUCCUCAUGGAUGUGUCAUUGGCCAAAUCAGAAAGAUUAAAUAAAACAUCAGGAUGCAAUUUGGAGAGUUACACAGCACACAGAAGGAUUUUUUUCUUACACAAGUCUAGGCUCUAGAGGAAGAAACCAGCCUGGAAGCUGGCACAUCUCUCUGACCCCCCCAUUGCUCCACACUCCCUGCUCACCUCUGCAGCUUU